rnacentral:rRNA from 1 species
GAUAUCUCGGCUCUCGCAUCGAUGAAGAACGUAGCGAAAUGCGAUACCUGGUGUGAAUUGCAGAAUCCCGCGAACCAUCGAGUCUUUGAACGCAAGUUGCGCCCGAGGCCUUCUGGCCGAGGGCACGCCUGCCUGGGCGUCACGCCAAACACGCUCCCACCCCA